rnacentral:rRNA from 1 species
UUCCGGUUGAUCCUGCCGGACCCGACUGCUAUCAGAGUGAGAUUAAGCCAUGCGAGUUAACGUAGCAAUACGUGGCGCACGGCUCAGUAACACGUAGUCAACAUGCCCAGGGGACGUGGAUAACCUCGGGAAACUGAGAAUAAACCACGAUAGGUCACGAUUUCUGGAAUGGAUCAUGGCCUAAAUCUACAUGGCCCCUGGAUUGGACUGCGGCCGAUCAGGCUGUUGGUGAGGUAAUGGCCCACCAAACCUAUAACCGGUACGGGCUCUGAGAGGAGAAGCCCGGAGAUGGGCACUGAGACUAGGGCCCAGGCCCUAUGGGGCGCAGCAGGCGCGAAACCUCUGCAAUAGGCGAAAGCUUGACAGGGUUACUCUGAGUGAUUUCCGCUAAGGGGAUCUUUUGGCACCUCUAAAAAUGGUGCAGAAUAAGGGGUGGGCAAGUCUGGUGUCAGCCGCCGCGGUUAUACCAGCACCCCGAGUGGUCGGGACGAUUAUUGGGCCUAAAGCAUCCGUAGCCGGUUCUGCAAGUCUUCCGUUAAAUCCAGCCGCUCAACGGAUGGGCCGCGGAGGAUACUACAGGACUAGGAGGCGGGAGAGGCAAGCGGUACUCAGUGGGUAGGGGUAAAAUCCUUUGACCCAUUGAAGACCACCAGUGGCGAAGGCGGCUUGCCAGAACGCGCUCGACGGUGAGGGAUGAAAGCUGGGGGAGCAAACCGGAUUAGAUACCCGGGUAGUCCCAG